GAUUCUCCACCAGAGGGCGCUGGACGUGAAGCUGGACCCUGAGCUCCAGAGGCGAUGCAUGACCGACCUGGGGAAGUGGUGCAGCGAGAAGACGGAGGCCGGACAGGAGCUGGAGUGUCUGCAGGAUCACCUGGAGGAUCUGGUGUCCGACUGCAGGGACGUGGUGGGGAACCUGACGGAGCUGGAGUCUGAGGAUAUUCAGAUCGAGGCGCUGCUGAUGCAAGCAUGUGAGCCUGUCAUCCAGACCUUCUGCCACGAGGUAGCUGAUAAUCAGA